AUGUCCAAUGCAGGCCUUGUUUCACCACGUAAAAAAAUUAUUGAUAAAGUAAAUAAUCUAAGAAAAAAGAAAACGUAUGCUGAGGACACAGAAUAUAGGCAUGUUAAAAAGCUACAAACACAACAAAGAUAUAAUUGUGAUGAACAGUAUCAAGCAAAUCAGAAGACUAGCAGUAUCGAAAAAUAUGCCAAUAAUGAACCAUUCAAACAACAAGUAAAAAACCGCAGUAUUGAAAAAUAUGCUAAUAAUGAACUGUUCAAAGAACAAGUAAAAAACAACAGUAUUGAAAAAUAUGCUAAUAAUGAACCGUUCAAAGAACAAGUAAAAAACAACAGUAUUGAAAAAUAUGCUAAUAAUGAACUGUUCAAAGAACAAGUAAAAAACAGCAGUAUUGAAAAAUAUGCUAAUAAUGAACCGUUCAAAGAACAAGUAAAAAACAGCAGUAUUGAAAAAUAUGCUAAUAAUCCUGCCCAUCGUAACCAGCUGAAACAAAGAACUGUAAUCAAAUACAGAGAUGAUCCGGCUUGUAAGCCCUCUUUAAUUGAAAGAAACUAUCAAAAGAGACUUAAUCUAACCCUCUUAAAACACAAUAUUGACUUUGUAAUUGAGCUCUUCCAAGAAGAGGUCAAACAUGGACCAGAACAUGUUUGUUGUGUAUGUCACAGAUUAUUGUUCCGUAAGCAAGUUCGAUUAUGUGACAUAACUUCAUAUGAAUCCAAGGCUUCAACUGUGUCAGCAAUUGCAAAACAAUGCAUUACUACAACAUAUCUCCAUCAAUGUGAUAUUGCAUGUUUAACGCCAUGCACACUAAAACAGACAGUUGCUGGGAAAUUGUGGAUAUGUUUCAGUUGCAACUCCAAGAUACUCAGUGGUAAGGUUCCCCAGGAGAGCGCUAUGAACAAUAUGGCAUUGGAUCCUAUUCCUGACGAAUUAGGCACACUGAACUCAUUACAACAACACCUGUGUGCAUUGAAUAUUCCCUUUAUGCGACUUGUGGCAUUGCCACGAGGUUCUCAGAAUUCUGUCCAUGGGCCGGUGACUUGCGUUCCAUCAAACAGCGAUGUAGUCACUUCAGUUCUCCCAAGGCUAGAAAAUCAGGAUUUAAUGAUCCGAAUAAAACUGAAAAGAAAACUUACUUAUAAGGGGCAUUAUCAGUAUCAAUAUGUGCACACUCAAAAAAUCCAAAAUGCGAUAGCAUGUUUAAAGGACAUGAAUAAAUGGUAUAAGGACAUAGACUUUAACGCAGAAUGGGAAAAUCCCUUGCCAGAAGAUGCAUGUUCUGUUUUGAAAGAAUGCAACCCAGUUAAUGACACUCCAUCUGCACCUGAAAGCAGUGACAUUACAACUCAAUCAGACCAGGUGUCGGAUGAUGAAGAAGCUGACCACAUAUAUGAAACUCAAACACACGGGUUACUCUUGGACACAUGUUUGCAACCUAUUGAUAUCGCACAAGAAAUAUUUGAUCAGCAUUUCGAAAGUGUUUUAUCAAUAGCUCCAGCUGAAGGCAACAGUCCUGUUAGGCUGCUGACAGAUAGGGGCAAUGAAGCAAAAUGUUUCCCAACUCUUUUCCCCAAAGGGACAGGUACAUUCCAUGAUGCACGGCCCCACAGGCUCACUCUCAGUAGAUACAUCAACACACGAAUCCUAAAUGCUGAUGGGAGGUUUAGCAGCAACUUGGACUACAUUUUCUAUGCUCAAUAUUUAUCUGAGGUCAAUCAGGUUGUUUCCAAGGUGUCAAUAGCAUUGAGAAAAGGUUACCAUGCAGGGGAAUCAUUGGCUAUAACUUCCGCCAUGCUUUCAAACAAAGACUAUGUACAAAAUGUCUUAAAAACCGCUCUCGGUUACAAGUUCCUUCAACCGAUCCGAGGGACUCCAGUUUUUUGGCAAGGUGUACAGAAAAAUCUAUUUGCUAUGGUUCGUCAGCUUGGUGUCCCUACUUGGUUCUGUUCAUUUUCAUGUGCUGAUUUACGCUGGACUGAACUCAUCGAUGUUUUCAUGAGACUACAGAAAAUACAGGGAAAUGUCAACGACCUGGACUGGUCACAGAGGUGCAAUUUACUCAAAACUAAUCCGGUUACCGCGGCAAGAAUGUUCCAACACAGGUUUCAGACUUUCCUAAAUGACGUCAUCAAGUCACCAGCUAACCCCAUUGGUAAAGUUAUCGAGACAUUUUUUAGAGUUGAAUUCCAACAACGCGGCUCACCCCAUACUCAUUGUCUGUCCUGGGUAGAAAAUGCACCGAAAAUAGGCAAAAACACAGACCAAGAAGUCACACAAUUUAUUGAUAAAUACAUCAGUUGUGAACUCCCGCCAGCAACCGACGCAUUGCAUGAAGUUGUUUCCAGCGUUCAAAAACACAGCUCCAAGCACUCAAAGAGUUGUAGGAAAAAAGGCACAACAUGCAGAUUUAACUUUCCACGUCCUCCAAGCAACCACACCUUUCUUUGUAGAAUUAAAACAGACGAGAACCAGGAGGUAACAGACGCUGAUCCGAUAGACGUCUCUAUAUUAGAAAUGCGAAAAGAAAAAGAGGUGGCUAAAAGUGUCAUGACAAGGGUCAAACAUGCUCUUUCAAGUCCAGACCUAACCUUCGACACUGUGGAUCAGCUAUUUGCUUCCGUUAACAUCACCCAGGAAAUGUUUGAAAAUGCCUACCGAUUGACAACCAAUAAAAACGCGGUUGUACACAAACGCAACCCAUCAGAUGUUUACGUUAAUCAAUACAACAAAGACCUUUUGCGUUGCUGGGAUGCCAACAUGGACAUACAAUAUGUCUGCGAUGCUUUUGCUUGCGUAGUAUACAUAAUAUCCUACAUCUCAAAAGCAGAACAAGACAUGGGCUUAUUGUUACAACAUACUCAAAAUGAAAUGAAACUAGAACUGCAAGCAGUUAUGCAGGGGUCCAAGAAGUGUGCAUUUCGCCGGCACAACGCGACAAGAAAUGUGCAUUUCGCCGGCACAACGCGAAGCAAGUAUUCAAAACGCUACCGUGAACAACAUGUGGAUAUAAAGGUUUUGACUGUGGGAGCUUCGGUGUGGGAGUUAUAG
rnacentral:lncRNA from 1 species